rnacentral:snRNA from 1 species
CCAAUCAGAUGGCUGAACUGUCUACAGUCCGUCUACACUACAGUGACUGCAGACUUUGUACUACUGUACACUAGAGGCCUGCGAAUUCCCCGAAUAUGGGAAUCUCACCUGCAUAAUUUCUGGUAGUGGGGGACUGCGUUCGCGCUCUCUCCCC